CAGACGUGUGCACUUCCGACUGCUUAUGUUGAAGUGUUUGGGAUGUGGCUUUUAAUGAUGAGACCUUUUUUAUAAUCAGGCUCUCAAAAAGUAUAUAAAAAUUUGGAUAUAGAUUUAUCGGCCAACAUAUCGGUUAUCGGCUUUCAAAAAUA